UAUAAAAUUGCAGCUGUUUAGCUAAAAAAUGUUAAUUGGAAGAAGCAAAAGUGAAUGGUGUGGUGCCAGUAAGAUGGUAUCGAUAUGAUCUAGUCUCAAUUAAGUUAGUCGCAGACAAAAAAUAAAACCUGUAAACAAUUUCUCUAUAUAUUUACUUGUUCUAGUGCCAGUGAAACGAACGAUAGAAAAAAGGAAACAUUCAAACUGUUCGCAAAAUUUUGGUUUGGAUACAAAAAACCAAAUGAAAAUGAUGCUGGAAAGGUACACUUUCUUAUAUCUAAACAUCAUUGCAGCUUUCUAUUCUUCAUUUUUGUUUAUGUGUAUUUCAUCUGUGGUGUUAAUGAUAUUGCCAGCUUUUAUGAUUUUAUGUUGUUAAGUAAAGCAUCCUUAUGUUUCAGGCUAAAAUAGAGCUUUGACUAACACUUUUUUCCAAUUUAAAUGAAUAACAACUCUCAAGGUGUAUUAGCUAAAUUAUCUGUUUUGAUAGUCUUUAUUCAAUAACGGAUUUUUAAAUUGUUAAGAGUCUACAACACUUAAUUUCAGCGUAAUUCAUUUAAAAAGUCAUGGUAUAGAAGACAUAAAAAUAUCAACAUCUGUUAUUAAUAACUUGGCUUUCAUAGUGUGAAAGUUUCAUAAUCUGAGAGGUGCAAAUGUUUAGCUUGAAUUAAGUACUACAUAAUAAAAUAUAUCGUUGUACAGUCAUUUUGAUGGUUGUAAAUUUAUUUAGCACAUUCAUUUUUAUAUAUUUUUAAACUGUUUACCGUUUGACUCGUGUCCCAAUAUAACCUAGUGGGUUCAAAAAAAAGGGACCGCGCUGGAAACAUGAGUGGAUUAAAAGGAUCAGCCUUUUUUGAAUUAAUAGUCAGUAAGUAUAAUGUGUUCCACUCAGCUAAUCAAGUUUCGUUUGCUUUUUUUGUAUUACAUUUAAGCAAUAGACUGUUUUUUAUGUUUACUCGUUUUUUAGAAGUGGUAACCAGCUAGAAGUCGUAACCUGCUCGUAUGAAAGGGUUUCUCGACGUGAAAUUGUUAAUUUUAUUCAGCAACGCCAAGAAACAGAGCUCGCUCAAGAAACAGAAAAGAAAGAGAAAGAUAAAAAAAUAUUCUGUUGAACAAUACUAUUGUUUUAUUUAUAAAUUAUUCUCCUA